rnacentral:lncRNA from 1 species
UCGAUUUUUAAUUAACAAUUACGUAGAUAUGUAUUAGUGAUAACCUUUUGGGAGAGAUGUGUAUUAAUGUAAUGGUGUCCUCUUAUAAUUUUAUCUAAUCCAAGUAUUAGUAUGUUUCGUAAUUGUAUUUCGACAAAAAUUUAUAACAACACAUAACAGGACUCAUAAUAAUAUUUUUGGUCAUAUGUUAAAAAAACAAAAUAAUUACAUUUAGAGUCAAAAAUCUUCAUUUGUUUUCAUGUCAGCUGGACCACCAAAACAUGAAGCUGCUUUGCUCAACCUCCACAACCCCUUCUCACUUCUCCGAUGAACCCCCGCCAUUACUUCAACACCACAACCACCAUUAUUUGAUGGGAAGAAGGUCGAUGGAGCGUGUCGACUCUGCCGGUUUCUAAUAUCAUUCUUGAGCUCCAUCUGAUCAGUAGGAAUCUUAGGGGGCAAUCCAAACAACACAAGUAACAACUUUGCUUUCACCGGCGACGAAAAACUAGACACCUUUGCAACCAAUACCCCAUUUUUAUCCCUACCCUUUUUACCACUUGAGCUCCUCUUUGACCUACUAGAAGAAGUGCUUUUGGAUUUGACAAAUACGGAAUCUGAUUUAUUUAGGGUUGGUUUUUCUUGACAUUUGCUUUUGGAGAUAGGUUUAUGUGAAGGAAUUUGCUUCCCACCAAAGAUGGUAUUUUGGGGUACGAAUGGAUUAGAAGAAAAAAUAUUAAUAGGUGUAGUAUUAAUAUCUUUCCAUUCUUCACUAAAAAACUCAAAGAAUUCUUGGCCGUCGGAUGAUGAUGAUAAGGAUGAAUCCUGAUAAUGAUCAUCUACAGUUGAGUCUCUUGUGUGUAUUGGAAGAUCACAAAGAGAGAGAGUGUCAUCAUCUUCAGNN